AGACGGCAGUAGGCCCUGAACAGCCUGGUAUUCAACAGGCACUUCACACACAUGAAGGUCGACUGCUUCGCCCAGCCCCAAUAGCUCCAGUUCCUGAGCACAGGAAACAUAUGUAUUGAUAUCGCAGUCUUAAAGGGUUUUAAAUGCCCACAAUGGAACACAACUACAACCCCCUUAAUCAGGGCUUAAAGGAAGUGACACACCAGAUCUGGAUAGAUCAUACUGCCACCUACUGGAUGGGCAUGCACUCGUCAACAGCAGUUCCUCCUUCAGUAAAACCUUUGGCUAAGAAGUGGAAGGAAAAAAAUCAACAAAGGAAGACUCAUGAAUUUGUAUUUCUUCACCAUGCAGCACAAUGCAUGAAAGAAGAAGAAGGGAGAGGAUGAAAGCUGAUCCUUUUAAUCCAACUGUUUUAAUGCAGCCGAAUGUAACUCAAGACAUGUGUGUGCUGAAAAUGAAAACAAGCGGCCAUCUGAAGUCAAUGAACAACAACCUCCCCUCCAUCAGAAAGAACUGUUGAUACAGGCUAAGCAUUUAACCGCCAACCAGCUGCUCCAGUUGAGCUGCUUUGUGGUUUUACUGGUUGGCUCCCAGGUGUGAAUGUAUCCAGUGUAACAACGUGAGAGUGACACAGGGCGUUGCUGAACAUGCAUGCCCUGUUAGCUUACCCCAGGGGACACAAAGGACACUUCUCUGGCUGAGGAAGGGAAGUUGUAUCUUACACAACCUUUGACACACUCAAUUACCUGAGCUAUAGAGGUCUAACCUUCUUCCCAGUUUGUUGUCAUGAAGGCAGAGAUAAUUCAAUUGCACCUAACAGCCACUUUUUUCAUUUGCGGCGCAGUCCACACCCUUGUUGCGAAAUGACUCACACAUUCUGGACACUGCACCCUAUGUGUCUCCAAACUGGUACACUGAAGAAAAUAUGCUCUCCAUAGGGUGGAGUAUUUUUUCUUCUUGCAAGAGUCUUUUGUGGUAAAUGGUUCAAACAAAUGCCUUUCAUUCAUGCCUCUACGGUUGCAGAAUCAACAUUGAUGUCUUGCCUCUGAAUCACAUCACACGAACCUACCACCUCCACCAACCACCUACACAACCUGCACUGCAGUUGCUCACAUCCCCCUCUAUUCCCUAAACCCGUUCACCUUCCUCUCUCCAUCUCGCCUGCGUCACUUGCUAUGUCAGCGUUGCCAUGGAAACUAAUGAUGCCCUCUCUGCUCCGUGGUGCUGAUGCAGACAGUCUGCUGACGUCCUCGCUGUGUUUGAGCGGAAUAACAAUAUUCUAGUUCCCACACAGGGCCAGACUCAAUGCCUUAUACAACAUGGAUGUGUGCUAUAUACUGUAUGUGUCUCUUGAUUUAUCUUUAUCCUUAUUAUAUUCUACUAUUUUCUAUUCUGCGCUAUUCUAUCAUAUAAUGUCCUAUUCUAUAAUGGUUUGAACCUAUUAUUGUUCUAUUCUAUUUUAUUUUAUUACAUUCUCUAUUUGUAAUGCUUAACUAUAUAAUGUUCCAUUCCAUUAUAUUCUGUUUUGUGUCA